UACGAAGGUCCCGAGCGUUGUUCGGAAUCACUGGGCGUAAAGGGAGCGUAGGCGGCGUGGUAAGUCAGAUGUGAAAUCCCGGGGCUCAACCCCGGAACUGCAUCCGAUACUGCCGUGCUCGAGGGUUGGAGAGGUAGCUGGAAUUAUCGGUGUAGCAGUGAAAUGCGUGGAUAUCGAGAGGAACACCAGUGGCGAAGGCGAGUUCCUGGACAAGUCCUGACACUGAGGCACGAAAGCCGGGGGAGCAAACAGG
rnacentral:rRNA from 1 species